UGCCAGCAGCCGCGGUAAUACGGAGGGGGCAAGCGUUGUUCGGAAUUACUGGGCGUAAAGGGCGCGCAGGCGGCGUUGUUAGUCAGGUGUGAAAUCCCCGGGCUCAACCUGGGAAUGGCACUUGAUACUGCAAUGCUAGAGUUCGGAAGAGGGUAGUGGAAUUCCCAGUGUAGAGGUGAAAUUCGUAGAUAUUGGGAAGAACACCAGUGGCGAAGGCGGCUACCUGGUCCGAUACUGACGCUGAGGCGCGAAAGCGUGGGGAGCAAACAGGAUUAGAUA
rnacentral:rRNA from 1 species